rnacentral:rRNA from 1 species
GACGAACGCUGGCGGCGUGCCUAAUACAUGCAAGUCGAGCGGAACUGGGGGAGCUUGCUCCUUCCAGUUUAGCGGCGGACGGGUGAGUAACACGUGGGCAACCUGCCCUGCAGAUCGGGAUAACUCCGGGAAACCGGUGCUAAUACCGAAUAGUUUGGCGCCUCUCCUGAGGCGCUACGGAAAGACGGUUUCGGCUGUCACUGCAGGAUGGGCCCGCGGCGCAUUAGCUAGUUGGUGGGGUAACGGCCCACCAAGGCGACGAUGCGUAGCCGACCUGAGGGGGUGACCGGCCACAGUGGGACUGAGACACGGCCCAGACUCCUACGGGAGGCAGCAGUAGGGAAUCUUCCGCAAUGGACGUAAGUCUGACGGAGCAACGCCGCGUGAGUGACGAAGGUUGUCGGAUCGUAAACUCUGUUGUGAGGGAAGAACACGUACCAACUAACUAUUGGUACCUUGACGGUACCUCACCAGAAAGCCACGGCUAACUACGUGCCAGCCGCCGCCGUAA